GAGGGUAUGGCUUAGUGGCAGAGCGCAUGCUUAGCACGCCCGAGGUCCUGGGUUCAAUUCUCAGUACCUCCC
rnacentral:tRNA from 1 species